AUUGAACGCUGGCGGCAGGCCUAACACAUGCAAGUCGAGCGGAUGAAGGGAGCUUGCUCCUUGAUUCAGCGGCGGACUGGUGAGUAAUGCCUAGGAAUCUGCCUGGUAGUGGGGGAUAACGUCCGGAAACGGGCGCUAAUACCGCAUACGUCCUGAGGGAGAAAGUGGGGGAUCUUCGGACCUCACGCUCUCAGAUGAGCCUAGGUCGGAUUAGCUAGUUGGUGGGGUAAAGGCCUACCAAGGCGACGAUCCGUAACUGGUCUGAGAGGAUGAUCAGUCACACUGGAACUGAGACACGGUCCAGACUCCUACGGGAGGCAGCAGUGGGGAAUAUUGGACAAUGGGCGAAAGCCUGAUCCAGCCAUGCCGCGUGUGUGAAGAAGGUCUUCGGAUUGUAAAGCACUUUAAGUUGGGAGGAAGGGCAGUAAGUUAAUACCUUGCUGUUUUGACGGUACCAACAGAAUAAGCACCGGCUAACUUCGUG
rnacentral:rRNA from 1 species